rnacentral:rRNA from 1 species
GCCGGCCCGUAAAGUCACCGUUAAGACCCGAGUUCAAUUGGGGAGUGGCGGUGAUACUUACGGCUAGGGGGCGGGAAAGUUGGAGUACUCCCGGAGUAGGGGCGAAAUCCUCAGAUCCCGGGAGGACCACCAGUGGCGAAAGCGUCCGGCUAGAACGCGCCCGACGGUGAGGGGCGAAAGCCGGGGUAGCAAAAGGGAUUAGAUACCCCUGUAGUCCCGGCUGUAAACGAUGCAGGCUAGGUGUCGCGUGGGCUUUGAGCCCACGCGGUGCCGCAGGAAAACUGGUAAGCCCGCCGCCUGGGGAGUACGGCCGCAAGGCUGAAACUUAAAGGAAUUGGCGGGGGAGCACCACAAGGGGUGGAACCUGCGGCUCAAUUGGAGUCAACGCCUGGAAUCUCACCGGGGGAGACCGCAGGAUGACGGCCAGGCUGACGACCUUGCCAGACUCGCGGAGAGGAGGUGCAUGGCCGUCGCCAGCUCGUGUUGUGAAAUGUCCGGUUAAGUCCGGCAACGAGCGAGACCCCCACUUCUAGUUGGUAGCCGUCCCUCCGGGGAUGGCCCACACUAGAAGGACUGCCGGUGUUAAACCGGAGGAAGGAGGGGGCCACGGCAGGUCAGCAUGCCCCGAAACCUCCGGGCCGCACGCGGGUUACAAUGGCAGGGACAGCGGGAUCCGACCCCGAAAGGGGAAGGCAAUCCCACAAACCCUGCCUCAGUUGGGAUCGAGGGCUGAAACUCGCCCUCGUGAACGAGGAAUCCCUAGUAACCGCGGGUCAACAACCCGCGGUGAAUACGUCCCUGCUCCUU